UGCUAGACUAAAAAUCUGCCUUUGUAUUAUUAGAUGUGUGACUUUGUGCAAGUUAUUUAAUGUCCCCAUGUCUCAAUGUCUUUAUCUGUAAAAUGGAGAUAUUGACAGUACUCACCUCAUGGGGGUUUGUGGAGGAAAAAUUGUAGCUAAGUAAUGUUAUGGUUUUAAUGUGUCCCGUCUAAAAUUCAGGUGUUGAAACUUAAUGGCCAAUGUGAUAGCAUUAAGAGGUAAGCCCUUUAAGAGAUGAUUAAGCCGUGAGGGCUCCUCCCUCCUAAAAGGGAUUAAGGCCUUUACGAAAGAGGCUUCAUGCAGUGUUUGGCUUUCUUGCCUUUCUACAUUCUGUCAUGUGAAGACAGUGCUCCUCUCCUCUGCACGAAUCAGCAACAUGACACCAUCUUGGAAGCAGAGAGCAGCCCUAACCAGAUAACCAAAUCUGUUGGCACCGUUAUCUUAGAUUUCCCAGUCUCCAGAGCUGUGAGAAAAUUAAUUUCUGUUAUUUAUAAAUUAGUCUCCAGUAUUUGUUAUAGCAGCACAAAACAGAUGGACUAAGACAGACAUCUGAUGAGUUUAACACAGUACCUUGCACAUGAUGUCUUGAAAAAGCUUUCUGGGUUUAGACAUGGAAGAUUGGAAAUUGGAGGACAAGAAGCCUGGAUAUAGCUACCCCUCUCUUUUUCUCUGGAUUGGGGAGAGCCCCUUCUCGCAGUCUUGGCAGAAGCCACUGGAUUACUCAGUGAUUUUUUUUCCCAAAAUGAAAGGAAGAGGAGGAAGCCAGCUGCAGCUUUGACACUUGUAAUUGUACCCCAGUGAGAAAUAAUGAGACAAAGAGAGAGUGUUCCAUCAGUCUCAGCCACUGGUUUGCCAGUGCCCAGAAACACAAGAUUAGCAGCUCUUGUAAUUUCAUCCUCCAGGUAGGUGUUCUUGUCAGUUCAGUUUCCAUUUUAGUAGAUGUGUCUUGGCUUUGAAUCUUUUCAGACAUCAGUAAAAUCUCCCCACAG
rnacentral:lncRNA from 1 species